rnacentral:lncRNA from 1 species
UCAAGAGAUAUGGCUUACCUUUUCUAAUUAAUGUCUGAUUUUGUUAUCCCUAAUCUCUCACACUAACUCGAACAAGAGACAUUUCACCAAAAAAAAAAAAACUCGAACAAGAGACAAAUACAAACCCAAUUGUGAAUUAACCCCAGAAUAGAAUAAUAUGUAAACCGACGAUUAUAAUUGGCUCAAAUCACGGAUUAUGAGUUUUCUUUUUCUUUCUUUUUUCCUUUAUUUCUUUGUUGUUGUUGAGAACGCUUUAAAGCAAAGCAAAGCAAAGCGAAGAGAGAAUCGAAAAGUAUAAUUUACUAAUCAAAAGGAAAUCGGAGAAAUAGAAUCCAUAUCGUAAAAUAAAUCACUGACACGAGAAUAUGCACAAAAUUAGGUUUCGAGCAGAUGAACCAAAAAAAAAUUCAACUUCAAAAAGAAAUAAAUAUUGGAGAAGAAGAAGAAGCUUCUUGAACAGAAAGAAUCACGGAGAGAAGUGCCAAAAAAAAAAGGGAAAUACUUUAAUAGAAAUCUUGUGAAUAUAAU